CAGGAUCUGUGGUUUGUUUUUGAGAAGUUUUCCUCGAGCUUAGUCCGUUGAUGGAGCGUGGUUAUCAGCAGUGCGUGGAUUAUCGGAGUGCCAGGGUUGAUCCUCCCAAAAAUCAACGUUGUGCAGCACUGGGAACAAGGCACCGACGCUCUUUCCAAGUUCAUUUUCAAGCUAAUCUUAUAAAGAAGGAAUGGAUCGGUCAAACAAUGAUUUGGGCGUCUCGGGUCAGGAUCAUGGGGUUUCGGGGAAUUGGAAAGAGAGGACGAAUGCGGAGAUACUUCAUUAAGCCGUGAAUCGUUUUAAGGGUGGUCAAGCUGGCGUUUCUGGACAAAGCAGUAGAGGCAAGAAUGGAAAGAGAGCCCGGUCUUAUACACGAGAGGAAACGCAAAGAGAGCCGACGAUUGACGGGACCUUAACAGAAAGCAGGAGUAAUGAGGCUCUACCAAUCUAGAUUUAAAAUUUCUUGUGGAUGUGAAUGAGUUGUUGAUAUGGUACAUUCCGCAUGUCAGUAUUCUAAAACUUGAAGGCCUCACUCGGCAUUCUAUUCAGGAAUAUUCCCGCUCGUUGAGUUGACAGCUACUCAUGCUGCAAUACCAUUCUGCUGUCACCUCAUUUUUCUUUGGCAUAAACUUUACCUGUUUAUAUGUAAAGUAGACAGAAGAUUGCAUGCAAGAUAGUUGCUUAGAUGGACAGCAUUGAGAGUGUUGAGAGGUGUUCAUUCUGCAGAGGGUAAAGAAAUUUGUACAGGUGAAGAGCAAAUACUAAUGGAGGAGAUUCGGGGGACUCAAGACGAGAGUUUUGAUGCCAGUCCGAAUGACAACUCAUGGGUGGGAUUCAACGAUCGUUCAUAAGAUACUCGAGGCGACAGUGGCCCUGGCGGAGGAGAUGGUCUUACGCAAGCGACUGCAAAUUUCAUGAGACCACUCCAAGCGACGGUCAUUAAUGGUCCUCAUUGCAGCGGUGGCCAUGACGAGAUGGGUUUCAAUUCUGAGGGCGCUGUUGGAAAUCAUCAAAUCAAAAAAAGAAGCCGCCAAGCGAAUUACUAGCACCGGGAGACGACCUGGAUGAUUUAUGUUGAUAAUGUUUACUUUCAAUGUUUGUGGAAAUUGGAGUUGGGAAACUUCGUAGUUACUUUAUGACCAUUGUUGUGUCGAUAGAUUUUACCCGAGUUGGUUUCAAGGAUGUUACCCGAGAUAAUUUCAAAGAUAACUCUUACGAUUGAGCAAACUAGUAGUGAACAUAAACCUAGCAGGUUUCUAAUUCAGGUAAUCUAUUAGUUGCAAACGAUAAAAUUGCAUUGAAAUGCAAAUUAUAUUUUGAUCUCUUUUCUUGCAACGUGCAGAGUCUCGGCACGGUUUCUGAA